UUGUGAAAUGUGACGUUUGGGAGGGUCGCCCACGGUUCAGACGAUCAGUCCAAGUCCAACUUGACAGUGGCCACAGCCCAUAGAGGGUGAUAGGCCCGUAAGGCGGUUGUCUGGCUGUGCUGACCUCUCUCUAGAGUCGGAUUGCUUGGGAGUGCAGUCCAAAGUGCGAGGUAAACUCCUCGUAAGGCUAAAUAUAACCCCGAGACCGAUAGCAAACAAGUACAGUGAUGGAAAAUUGAAAAGAACUUUGAAGAGAGAGUUAAGAGUACGUGAAACUGUGUGGUGGUAAACGGAGGCGUUNCUCGAAGUGUCCGUGGGGGACUCAAGCUUGGUGGCNNGGGCAGCCGGCGCUCCUUGAUCAGCAAUGACUGGGUGCGUCGUGCAGGCUUGCCUCCCGGCCGCACUUUCCCCGCGGUUGACGGCAGGAACUGUUGGGACCGGACCAAAGGCCUGGGAUGAAGUUGCUUGCCCUCACGGGCGUGUAGCUCCCGGUGUCCUGGCUUC
rnacentral:rRNA from 1 species